UCAGCUAGGUAAUAAAUCAGUUAUGCAUUCAGUAGAUUGGAAUUGUAUUUUGUAGCUUAAAUCUAUAACUAGAUAGACAAGAAUGUUGGUUGCUUUACUCUGGUUUGAGCCCUUGCCUGAAACAAUGUACGUUUGGGACAUUUUCUACCACUAAGGUGGCCAGUCGCCAUAUGACUGAAGAACCAACAAAACAAUCCAUAUUGGUUUAGUUAAAAGUUUGUUUAAAAUAUGGUAUAUGUUUACAUUUUGAGAUUGGAAUGUUGUUUUGUUAACCCAGUGACUUUUCAGUAAACCUAUAGACAAUGGAGUCUGAAUGGCUUGAGUGGCAUCAAAUGUGAUUAUGGAUAGAUGUCAGAAAAUGGAUGGCUUAAAGCACACCUGUGACAGAGUAAUGAAGAACUUGACAUGCAUGGUGGAAGUUGAUCGAGACUAUCAAUUCUUCGAGAGGUCCAGCGACUAUGAUACUCGCAAGAAGGAUACGGUAUGGAAUAGCUUUCUACACCUCUGUGCUGGCAGAUUUGUUAGAUUGGAAGUUGUUUCAGUGUGGAGUGAGAUGGACACUUUGUAUGGUCAGGUAAAAGUUGCUUUUGAAGUCACAAGUAAGUCUCAAUAAAGGCAUUUCCAUUUCUAGUUGUUUAACUAGCUAAGUAUUGGAAAGUUGGUGGUUCUACUCUUAUUAGGUGUCUGUCUUUGUCCGAAACAAUGCCAUUAAGGCACAUUUUCCUCUACCUUUAAAGCUGGACAGUCACCAAAGUAAAACGUAGAAUUGGAAAUAUUGUUUAGGUUAUACUGUUACUUUUAGAGAUUGCAAUGUUGUUCUGUUAACCCCAGUGACAUUUCAGAAAACAUUUACAACAUGUUGGCUAGAUUUCUUGCUUGAUGUCGGAAGUUGUGAUGGUGGGGAUGGUUGUGUGACAUUGGUGAAGUUUGAUUGUGCUGGAAAGUGACAUGAUGGAGCAUGGGUAAAUCAUCUAUUUUGAGUUUGUGUAAAUCACAGGACAGCAGGUGUGCAACAUGUAUAUGGUGGGUUCAAUUUUUGAGUAGCUAAGUAAUAAAUCAGUUACACAUUCAGUACAUUGGAAUUGUAUUUUGUAGCUUUAAAGUCUAUAACUAGGUAGACUGGAAUAUUGGUUGCUUUACUCUGGUACCAGCCCUUGCCUGAAACAAUGUACAUUUGGGGCAUAAUUUCCUACCAAUAAAGGUGGACGGCCAGUCGCCAUAUGACUUGAGAACCAACUAAACAAUUGUUAUCGUUUUAGUUCAGAGUUUAAGAUAUGGUCAAUGUUAACAUUUUGAGAUUGGAAUGUUGUUUUGUUAACCCAGUGACUUUUCAGUAAACCUAUAGACAAUGGAGUCUGAAUGGCUUGAGUGGCAUCAAAUGUGAUUAUGGAUAGAUGUCAGAAAAUGGAUGGUUAAAGCACACCUGUGACAGAGUAAUGAAGAACUUGACAUGCAUGGUGGAAGUUGAUCGAGACUAUCAAUUCUUCGAGAGGUCCAGCGACUAUGAUACUCGCAAGAAGGAUACGGUAUGGAAUAGCUUUCUACACCUCUGUGCUGGCAGAUUUGUUAGAUUGGAAGUUGUUUCAGUGUGGAGUGAGAUGGACACUUUGUAUGGUCAGGUAAAAUUUGCUUUUGAAGACACAAGUAAGUCUCAAAAAAGGCAAAACAUAGAAUUGUAUCUGUUUAAUGGAAAUAUUGUAUAGGUUAUACUGUUACUUUUUGAGAAUGCAAUGUUGUUCUGUUAACCCCAGAGAUAUUUCAGAAAACCCUUGCAACAUGUUGGCUAGAUUUCUAGAUUGAUGUCGGAAGUUGUGUUGAUGGAUUUAUGUUGGAAUGUGGAUGGUUGUGUGACAUUGGUGAAGAUUUGUCAGAUUUGGAGUUGCUCCAGUGUAGAGAGAGAUGGACACAGUGUAUCGAUAAAAAAACUACUCAAGGAUGUCACAGAACAUGAAGUUACAUGAAAAUUAUGACUGUCAUCUUCAAGCAUUUACAGUAACAACACAGUAAGAUCUGAUGUUUCAUUGGAAAAUGGUGUAGUGUGUGUGUGUUGAUCUGACAGGACAAUGAUUCAAUUAUAUUUUGUUAAAUGAUGAGUACUAGAUGAUAUUUUCCAUCAAGUUAUCAAGACAAGACGGUAAGAAUUGCAGUGGUUUAAUAGUUGCUCAGCAGUGUGAAAGACAAGGCAAGUACAGAACAGAGAGGUAAAAUAUUGAAAAGGUGUAAUAUUGUAUUUAUUGUGGCGGGAGGGACAUAAAUAAAUGCCAUUAUGAAUUAUAUGUUGCGGUUAGUGUUAAAUUGUGAAAUGAAUAGAAAAGGAUAUAGUGAAUUGCCUGGAAAGAAAUGAGAAUGAAAACAUUGUGAAGUUUUGAGAAUGGAAAUAGGGCAUGAAAAGUCAGUGCAGUGAAAAAUGGAAAGUGUUGGUUGAAAUAUGAAAGAAAUGAAGGAACUACAAGAGGUCAGCAAUAGACAUUUUUGAAAAAUGGAGAUGUGAAAGUGAAAAAUGAAUGAAAAUAAUUGGAAAGGGAGAGAAUACAUGGAAAUUGGAAUGGAAACAAUUGAAUAAUAGUCAAGGAAAUGGAAAAAAACUAGGAGAGUUGAAUAAAAUGAAAUUUAAAAGCGAAAAUAGUUCAUCAUGUGUGAAAAGCAAAUGAAUAAAAAAGAAGAUAAUUUGGUUGAGAAAAUGUAGAUGAAAAAAGAUAUGAAAACAAUUGGCUUUCUAGACAGAUCAACUUUCUGUAGAAAGUCAAUUUCAGGUCUCCUGGCAUCCAUGAUUGUUGAUUGUUUGCACGUCCCCAUCAUAGUUCUGCCAUGAAGGGGAAGUGCAGAUAUGACAGAUUUUCUACUUUAUUCUUAUCUAACUUUAUCUCGAUCUUUACAAAACUUUCUUUUCUGUACAAAGUUUUCCUCCAGACAAGAUUAUGUAGGUACUGACCAUGGUCAUUGACAUAUACCAGUUGUGACAAACCUCUCCAUCAAAAUA